UUUUCAAUUUUAAUAUAUAAUUUGUUUUUUAACUUUCACUCACAGUUAGACAGUUCCAGAUUUUUAAACUGAAAAGGAAAACGAAAAACCUUACAUAUUUCCUCUCUCCUCCUCCACUAGUGCCCGUUCCUUUUCUGCCCCUUCUUCAUCUUUCCCAAACCCUAACACCACCUUCCGCCAUGGCACCACCGCCACCAAUGACGGCAAUAACCGCCACCUCUUUUCCUCCUCCGCCAGAUUCCUCAACAAAAACCCUUCCUCCUUCGCACACAACUACUGGAUCGCCAUCACCAUCGCCAUCGGCGUCCACACCACCUUCCACAUCGGCGUCCAAUUCAAACUCCGAGAAUGAAGGUUCGCGAAGGUGGAGAUUCUCGUGAAGGUGAUGACGAACACAAUUUGGCAUCGAGGUUUGCGUGAAGGUGAUGGAGAUCGCGUGAAGGUGAAGGUUCUAUCUGUUUCUCGCUCAGAAAUUCUGGAUGGUAAGAUUCUCGAUCCAAAGUUUCCAUUCCAACUUCGUUUCUCGUUCCACAAUCUAAGGCUUGAGCGUUACAGAGGCGUUUUUCGGUGAAGGUUGCGAUGGUGAAGCUUUGUGUUCUGAACCGAAGCAAUCGAUGAGUUGGUUACUACCCUAAUCCUUUGAAUGGAACAUUGUUGAGUUUUGAAUACCCUAGUCUUUUCAUUCCCUAGUUUGUGUGUGUCACGAGAUGGUGUUUCUAGGCAAAUGGAAGUGGAUUAAAAGUUUAUUGAUUUUUAAUUUGUGGAUUGAUGAUUCAAAUAGUUGUGAUUGUGAGAAAGUGAUAUGGACAACAUAUGCAGAUGUGGAAUAAAACACAGCAUUAUAGUCCUGUUAAGAUGAUUUGAAAAUCUUGAUUCUAGUUUUAGAAUGAUUAGAGUGUUGGUCUUGAUUAUGGAAAAAGGGUGAGAGUAUACUCAUUUGUUUCCCCUUUAUCACUACUGCUGACUGAUAGUGAUUAUUUCACUCUUAAGAAUUGUAUUCUAAUUUCUCCACUAACUGAAUUCAUCUAUUGUAUGAAUAAUUAGAUCACCCCGUGGCUUAAAGAACGUGAAAUGCAUUUGCGUUUAUGCUUGUUGGAAUCUUCAUGAGGUUAUGAGACUGGCAUAUGCAUUUAUGCUUGUUGUGAUUUUAUGGAUGCUUAUGGUCAUUUGGAGCUGCUGUGUUGUGGCUUCAAGCAUGUGUGAUGGUGGACGCAGGUGGCUUCUUGUGGUAAGGUAGCAAGUUUUGGUCUUAAUGGAACAUAUUAUGGCAUCAUAUUGUGUAACCUUAGCUCAUUUGAUUCCACACUGAUACUUAUAUCAUGCUUGCAGGUCAAAGAUAGGCAAGAAUGAGUUUUUGUUAUGCUGUAUCGAUUUUCUUUUUCAUCUUGUGGAGACACUUAUCUGUUUCUAUAUUAGUAAUCACCUUCCAUGUAUAAUAGAAAUUGAAUCUUAUUGUUGUUUAUGGUAAAAGCUUUAACCAUUCUGCUAGAGAUGCUUGGGAGUUAUUCCAAUCAACUGGAUUUGAAGCACUUGUGACCUAUGAUUGUUCAGCUUUGUUUUACUCUCUUCUGAGAGCGAGAACAAGAAGAGUGAUUUCUAGCCAAGAUGAGGAUGCUGCUUUUGCUCAAAGGUUGCAAAGUGAAGAGUUUCUUCAAGUUUAUAGGGGGGAAGCCAGGAGCAGUCAAGCAAGUAUAUCUUGUUGGGUAGUAAGUAAUACAUAUAUCUUGUUUGUGUUUGCAUGCUUCAUUCUUGUCUCUUUACCAUGUUUUUGAGUAUUUUGAUCCAGAUGUCGAAAUUGGUUUUGGUUAUUUCCAAUUAAUGAAUAAAGUGAAGGAAAAAAAUGUCCUCAAGCUUAGCCAAGCAUUAUGUUAGUUACUUAGUGUACUGUGAUUGUUACAUUAGGUAUGAAAAUAUCUAGAUAGGUUCUUUGCAGUGUCUUUGUCUUCAAAAUGGAAAUCUAAAUAUAUAGGAACCUUUUGGAAAUCUAAAUACAUAGGAAUCAUCUAGUUCGCUGAAUCUUGUCAGCAGUCAGUUUUUUUUUCUGUUGUCUUCUUAGAGCUAUUUUCACAAAGAAAAACGGAGAAGCCACAUAUUAUAUUUAUAUAAAAUAGUUUAGGACCAUGCUUCUUUAAUUCUACAAUUACAACAUUCUAGAAGGAUUAUUCAAAUAACUCAAAGGAUAUUAGUUCUAUAAGACCUUUGGUCUGAUGAUUUCAGUGAAAGGAUCUCCAUAAGCAUUCCACUGAUAAUUGAGACAGAAGGAAUGCUAAGUAUUAAGUAAGUAUGGUACUUAUCUUUUGUGAAAUAAAGUGUAGUAUAUCAUUAUUGUUAUUUGCAGGUUUUUUCUGCAAUUAAUCUAUUUGUUUCUACUGAGCUUCCGCUUCAACAGGCUAUCCUUCUUCUGCAAGUUUCUUCCUGUUUUGUCAGGUAAAAAAAGUUGUAGCCAAAAUGGGUUAAGAUUGUUGUUCUUACUUAAGAUGAUGGAAGUUAUGAGUGGAAAAUGAUAAUUUUAACAACCGACUCUUUUAAGCCACUAAGAUAACAAGGUUCCUGAAGCUCUAGAGAAAGCCAAGGUAUCACUUCUGUUCUUGCGUUAUGAUGAUCUGUUAUUUCACUUAUUUGUGGUGGAAAUUAAAGGAUAAGUAUUUUUUUGUUUUCACCUUCGUUCACUUCAUCUAUUCCUCACACUUUUGCUCUGUUUUGAUUUUUGCUGAUGUAGCAUUGAGAUUGGCAACUUUGAAGGCACCUAUUGGCAUUUGGGUCUGAUGUGGGAUUUGAUUUCUCAACAGUUGAUGAGUGGCCCCUUGUUGCUUUCAAUACUAUUUUCUAUUUCGUAGGUAUAGACAUAGACAUAGUUCAUUUUUAUGUUUAUAAGAAUAAUUCUCCUAAGAGAGAUUAUUGAAAGGAACAUAUUGCAGUUGUCUGCAUUUCUAUUGUGUUUAAUUUUGAUGACUCUGGUUUAACUUUGACUUAAUCUAUCUUUUGUGUCUAUGAGAUUGUAUCGAAAUUGUGAGUUUUGCUGACUUUGAUUUAAAUUUGACAUAAUCUA